rnacentral:rRNA from 1 species
AACGAACGCUGGCGGCAUGCCUAACACAUGCAAGUCGAACGAAGGCUUCGGCCUUAGUGGCGCACGGGUGCGUAACGCGUGGGAAUCUGCCCUUUGGUUCGGAAUAACAGCUGGAAACGGCUGCUAAUACCGGAUGAUGACGAAAGUCCAAAGAUUUAUCGCCAGAGGAUGAGCCCGCGUUGGAUUAGGUAGUUGGUGGGGUAAAGGCCUACCAAGCCGACGAUCCAUAGUUGGUCUGAGAGGAUGAUCAGCCACACUGGGACUGAGACACGGCCCAGACUCCUACGGGAAGCAGCAGUGGGGAAUAUUGGACAAUGGGCGCAAGCCUGAUCCAGCAAUGCCGCGUGAGUGAUGAAGGCCCUAGGGUUGUAAAGCUCUUUUACCCGGGAAGAUAAUGACUGUACCGGGAGAAUAAGCCCCGGCUAACUCCGUG